AUCCACGUGCAUGGGCUUAACACAUCGCAGUGUGGAGAUCAUCCGGGCGUGUGUUAUUGCUAGUUGUAAACUACACCGACCUGCUUCCAUCAAGAUUUGGCUUUGAUAGAGAAUUUUCGGAACAUAACGUCUCAG
rnacentral:snRNA from 1 species